UAGCGCUAGUAUAUUAUCAUUUGUUGGUAAACAGUUUAGAUAGUGUAGCAGACGGUAAACAGAGUAAACAGAGACCUCUGGUGCUAACAGCUGAUGUCUCGGAACCCACUUACCAACAGGUGGCAGCACUUGAGCGAUCACCCCCAAUCUUAGCUGACCGCACAUGGCUGAAACAAGUGGAACCGGGACAAAAGGUCAGCCGCCAACACGAUGUUAUAAACAUCGAUACGACACGGUGUCCUGUUGGGCUCAGCUAAUGCAUCGAGUAUGGUAAAUGUAUUCAACUCAGGAACACUUCAGUAAAGGUACACACAAGAAAAUUAAUAUUCAACGUUUACAAGAGCGUUCACCACGUCCAGCGAGUGUCCAGAACGUGACUACAGCCCAUGAGUAUAAGUGACGCGGUCUUCUUGAAUAAGCCUUCGUUGACCUCACAUUGGCCUCACGCUAGACGUUGUGCAACAUCCUUGACCACCAUUGACCGUCCAGCUAAUUCACUAAACUGCCAGAUAACUUACCAUCUAUUAUCGACCAACACAUAAUGCCGGGACCGAACAAUGAGUUAUUAUCACCUGUAUGAACGGACAUCAAUCAAAUGGGUGCCACCGCUAUGACCUCACCGUGUCAGAUGAAGUAUUAACACUUUAUGAGCUGUAAAAUAGCAAGCGCAUAAAAUAAAUGGGUAUAAUACGGGCCUGUCGGAGAGAAUUGUAAUCGUCGGGGUGUGUUGUGGAGACAUAAACAUAAAUAAUGGUUAAAUAUGACAAUGCUAAUAAUUGUUUUAUAUAUGACUCCAAACCUACCCCCACCCACACACCCAUCCCCAACAUUAUCUCCAAAGGACCGACAUUAGCUUAGUUAUCAAACGUUACUAGACUAAUACUAGG